CUGCGGGGCUGCAGGGAAGGAAGCAGGGCGGGCCGCAGCUUCCAGCCAGCCGCGGUGCUCUGCAGGAAAAUCCGUGCUCCCCAGCACUGGCUGUCUUGCCAAAGCAAAACUGCUGCACAGGUGAUAGAAGCCUCUCUGUGCCACCUGCUGAGACAAGGGAGAGCCUUUCCAGCCUCACAGUGAACUUGGCAGCAGUUCUUGGAGACAAGAACAGAAGUUGCUGAUACGGGAAGGAUAAUGCCAACAAUGAGGCAUUAUUUUCAAGAAAUGACAACAAUCAUAGUGUGAGUGUCCAGGCUGAACACCAGACCAGACACUUCAGCUAUUACCCAGUUCUUAGCUUCAGCAUGUCUCUCCAUAAGAAGUCAGAUAAGACAUGUGGAGUGUACAGAUUUCCCAUUUUUUAGUCAAGAAAGAAAAACACAUUGCACAAAGCAGCUGCAUUCAACAAUACAACAAGAUACGGAUCAUUAUUCACUUGAAGACUAGAAACGUACCCAGAAAAUUUUCAAUCGUUCAGUAUGCUAAAAUAUAGAUAAAAAGAGUUAAUUACUGUUUAAUGGUAAAAUACAUUAAAAAAAUUCAGGCAAAUCUAGAAUGAAAACUUGUGACUUUCUUCAGUAUGGCACCACUCUAUUGUUUCAUUAUAAAUUUGUAAAAGGCACCACACAUUAAAACUGUAAAGCAAG